rnacentral:rRNA from 1 species
GGUUCAGGUGGUAGGGCUAGAAUGCUAGUCGAGUGACUCAGGCAAAACGAGUCACGGCACACAGCUCAGUAACACGUGGCUAAUCUGCCCUUGGGACUAGAACAACCCCGGGAAACUGGGGCUAAAUCUAGAUAGGUGAAGAACUCUGGAAUGAGUCUUUGCCUAAAUAGGUUCACGUUAUCCUCGUGAACUUGCCCAAGGAUGAGGCCGCGACCGAUCAGGUUGUUGGCGAGGUAAUGGCUCACCAAGCCUUUUACCGGUGCGGGCCGUGGGAGCGGGAGCCCGGAGAUGGGUACUGAGACAAGGACCCAGGCCCUACGGGGCGCAGCAGUCGCGAAACCUUUGCAAUACACGAAAGUGUGACAGGGCUAUCCCGAGUGCCAUCCGCUGAGGAAGGCUUUUACCCAGUCUAGAAAGCUGGGGGAAUAAGGAGAGGGCAAGUCUGGUGUCAGCCGCCGCGGUAAUACCAGCUCUCCGAGUGGUGUGGAUGUUUAUUGGGCCUAAAGCAUCCGUAGCUGGCUAGGUAAGUCCCUUGUUAAAUCCACCGAAUUAAUCGUUGGAUCGCGGGGGAUACUGCUUGGCUAGGGGACGAGAGAGGCAAACGGUAUUUUCGGGGUAGGGGUGAAAUCCUAUAAUCCCGGGAAGACCACCAGUGGCGAAGGCUGUUUGCUAGAACGCGCCCGACGGUGAGGGAUGAAAGCUGGGGGAGCGAACCGGAUUAGAUACCCGGGUAGUCCCAGCUGUAAACGAUGCAGACUAGGUGUUUGGACGGCCACGUGCCGUUCUAGUGCCGCAGGGAAGCUGUUAAGUCUGCCGCCUGGGGGAGUACGAUCGCAAGAUUGAAACUUAAAGGAAUUGGCGGGGGAGCACCACAAGGGGUGAAGCUUGCGGUUUAAUUGGAGUCAACGCCGGG